rnacentral:rRNA from 1 species
GAUGAACGCUGGCGGCGUGCCUAAUACAUGCAAGUCGAGCGAACGGACGAGAAGCUUGCUUCUCUGAUGUUAGCGGCGGACGGGUGAGUAACACGUGGAUAACCUACCUAUAAGACUGGGAUAACUUCGGGAAACCGGAGCUAAUACCGGAUAAUAUUUUGAACCGCAUGGUUCAAAAGUGAAAGACGGUCUUGCUGUCACUUAUAGAUGGAUCCGCGCUGCAUUAGCUAGUUGGUAAGGUAACGGCUUACCAAGGCAACGAUGCAUAGCCGACCUGAGAGGGUGAGCGGCCACACUGGAACUGAGACACGGUCCAGACUACUACGGGAGGCAGCAGUAGGGAAUCUUCCGCAAUGGGCGAAAGCCUGACGGAGCAACGCCGCGUGAGUGAUAAAGGUCUUCGGAUCGUAAAACUCUGUUAUUAGGGAAGAACAUAUGUGUAAGUAACUGUGCACAUCUUGACGGUACCUAAUCAGAAAGCCACGGCUAACUACGUG